AUUAGACGAAUCAUCUGGAAAGAUGAAUCAAAGAAGGUAAUAAUCCUGUAGUCGAAAAUGUUGUCUCUCUUGAGUGGAUCCUGAGUACGACGGAGCACGUGAAAUUCCGUCGGAAUCUGGGAGGACCAUCUCCUAAGGCUAAAUACUCUCUAGUGACCGAUAGUGAACCAGUACCGUGAGGGAAAGGUGAAAAGCACCCCGGAAGGGGAGUGAAAUAGAACCUGAAACCGUGUGCUUACAAGUAGUCAGAGCCCGUUAAUGGGUGAUGGCGUGCCUUUUGUAGAAUGAACCGGCGAGUUACGAUUUGAUGCAAGGUUAAGCAGUAAAUGUGGAGCCGUAGCGAAAGCGAGUCUGAAUAGGGCGUUUAGUAUUUGGUCGUAGACCCGAAACCAGGUGAUCUACCCUUGGUCAGGUUGAAGUUCAGGUAACACUGAAUGGAGGACCGAACCGACUUACGUUGAAAAGUGAGCGGAUGAACUGAGGGUAGCGGAGAAAUUCCAAUCGAACCUGGAGAUAGCUGGUUCUCUCCGAAAUAGCUUUAGGGCUAGCCUCAAGUGAUGAUUAUUGGAGGUAGAGCACUGUUUGGACGAGGGGCCCCUCUCGGGUUACCGAAUUCAGACAAACUCCGAAUGCCAAUUAAUUUAACUUGGGAGUCAGAACAUGGGUGAUAAGGUCCGUGUUCGAAAGGGAAACAGCCCAGACCACCAGCUAAGGUCCCAAAAUAUAUGUUAAGUGGAAAAGGAUGUGGCGUUGCCCAGACAACUA
rnacentral:rRNA from 1 species